rnacentral:rRNA from 1 species
GUAUGUCGUAGUCCGGAUUGGAGUCUGCAACUCGACUCCAUGAAGUCGGAAUCGCUAGUAAUCGUAGAUCAGAAUGCUACGGUGAAUACGUUCCCGGGCCUUGUACACACCGCCCGUCACACCAUGGGAGUGGGUUGCAAAAGAAGUAGGUAGCUUAACCUUCGGGAGGGCGCUUACCACUUUGUGAUUCAUGACUGGGGUGAAGUCGUAACAAGGUAACCGUAGGGGAACCUGCGGUUGGAUCACCUCCUUACCUUAAAGAA